UACGUAGGUGGCAAGCGUUGUCCGGAUUUACUGGGCGUAAAGAGCGCGCAGGCGGUUGAUUAAGUCGAAUGUGAAAGCCCCCGGCUCAACUGGGGAGGGUCAUUCGAUACUGAUCGACUUGAAGGCAGGAGAGGGUAGUGGAAUUCCCGGUGUAGUGGUGAAAUGCGUAGAUAUCUGGAGGAACACCGGUGGCGAAGGCGGCAUCCUGGACCGGUAUUGACGCUGAGGCGCGAAAGCUAGGGGAGCAAACGGG
rnacentral:rRNA from 1 species